CAGGGAGACAACAAAAUGUAAAUAUUAAUUUUGUCACCUUAGGUCGAUCGGUAUCUCAGAUUCUUAAUUUUUUAGGAAUUUCAGUUUCUAAGUUUUUUCUAGGUCACACCCAUCACUUUUUCCUGGGCCAUUAGCUCAGGUGGUUAGAGCGCACCCCUGAUAAGGGUGAGGUCCCUGGUUCAAGUCCAGGAUGGCCCAUAUCUCUAUGUUGGGGGUAUAGCUCAGUUGGUAGAGCGCCUGCUUUGCAAGCAGGAUGUCAGCGGUUCGAGUCCGCUUACCUCCACUGAAUACCACCUCUUACAUAUAUUUAAAGAGGGAAAUUGUUAUGAGUCGUGUCCUAAUUUACUCUGAGCGAAUCUAGCUUCCUAUUUUAUUCAAUAAAUAAGAUUUUAUUCAAUAAAUAAGAUGCUGGACUCAUUGAAUUUUUUUUCAUUGUUUUCAGAGAACCUUGACAACUGCAUAGAUUAUUUUUGAAGACAAUAAGCAUCUUUAAUGAUGCAGAUUUAUUAUUUGUGCGAAUGCAUUAAAUAACAAUUCUAUUAAGCUGAUGCUUCAAUUAUUGAAGUUAUU
rnacentral:tRNA from 1 species